UAGCAGUCGACGCUGAAGCUUGGUGCUUGCACUGGGUGGAUGAGUGGCGAACGGGUGAGUAAUACGUGAGUAACCUGCCCUUGACUCUGGGAUAAGCCUGGGAAACUGGGUCUAAUACUGGAUACGACAUGUCACCGCAUGGUGGUGUGUGGAAAGGGUUCUACUGGUUUUGGAUGGGCUCACGGCCUAUCAGCUUGUUGGUGGGGUAAUGGCUCACCAAGGCGACGACGGGUAGCCGGCCUGAGAGGGUGACCGGCCACACUGGGACUGAGACACGGCCCAGACUCCUACGGGAGGCAGCAGUGGGGAAUAUUGCACAAUGGGCGAAAGCCUGAUGCAGCGACGCCGCGUGAGGGAUGACGGCCUUCGGGUUGUAAACCUCUUUCAGCACGGAAGAAGCGAAAGUGACGGUACGUGCAGAAGAAGCGCCGGCUAACUACGUGCCAGCAGCCGCGGUAAUACGUAGGGCGCAAGCGUUGUCCGGAAUUAUUGGGCGUAAAGAGCUCGUAGGCGGUUUGUCGCGUCUGCUGUGAAAGCCCGGGGCUUAACCCCGGGUGUGCAGUGGGUACGGGCAGACUUGAGUGCAGUAGGGGAGACUGGAAUUCCUGGUGUAGCGGUGAAAUGCGCAGAUAUCAGGAGGAACACCGAUGGCGAAGGCAGGUCUCUGGGCUGUUACUGACGCUGAGGAGCGAAAGCAUGGGGAGC
rnacentral:rRNA from 1 species